AUUGAACGCUGGCGGCAUGCUUUACACAUGCAAGUCGAACGGUAACAGGCCGCAAGGUGCUGACGAGUGGCGAACGGGUGAGUAAUGCAUCGGAACGUGCCCAGCCGUGGGGGAUAACUACUCGAAAGAGUAGCUAAUACCGCAUACGAUCUAUGGAUGAAAGCGGGGGACCGUAAGGCCUCGCGCGAUUGGAGCGGCCGAUGUCAGAUUAGGUAGUUGGUGGGGUAAAGGCUCACCAAGCCAACGAUCUGUAGCUGGUCUGAGAGGACAACCAGCCACACUGGGACUGAGACACGGCCCAGACUCCUACGGGAGGCAGCAGUGGGGAAUUUUGGACAAUGGGCGCAAGCCUGAUCCAGCAAUGCCGCGUGCAGGAAGAAGGCCUUCGGGUUGCAAACUGCUUUUGUACGGAACGAAACGGCUCUGGUUAAUACCCGGGGCUAAUGACGGUACCGUAAGAAUAAGCACCGGCUAACUACGUG
rnacentral:rRNA from 1 species